rnacentral:rRNA from 1 species
CCUACGUGAGACUGCAGUCGAGAAUCAUUCACAAUGGGGGAAACCCUGAUGGUGCGACGCCGCGUGGGGGAAUGAAGGUCUUCGGAUUGUAAACCCCUGUCAUGUGGGAGCAAAUUAAAAAGAUAGUACCACAAGAUGAAGAGACGGCUAACUCUGUGCCAGCAGCCGCGGUAAUACAGAGGUCUCAAGCGUUGUUCGGAAUCACUGGGCAUAAAGCGUGCGUAGGCUGUUUCGUAAGUCGUGUGUGAAAGGCGCGGGCUCAACCCGCGGACGGCACAUGAUACUGCGAGACUAGAGUAAGGGAGGGGGAAGCGGAAUGCGGGGUGUAGCAGUGAAAUGCGUAGAUA